AAAGCAAGGGCAGGAUACUGUAUGCCGAAAGAAUAGAUGAAAGAGAAAAGCACAUCAUUACAUGACAGGAAGAAAAGGAAUUUGGGAAAAGAAAAGAGAAAAGAAAAAAAAGAAAACUACAAAGGAUUAGGCAGAAUGGCUAAACUCUCAUGGGAGUCAGCCAGAUCCUUCCAGUAACAGUCCAAACCGUGCCAGGAGAACCUGAAGAAAGACCAACAGCAGCUUAUGGCAGCAGAACAGAAGAAAAACAGGAAGGCCCACGACCCUUAGAGGACCAAAGGCAGCAAGAAGAAUACAGUUUGUUAACGAAG